rnacentral:misc_RNA from 1 species
AAGACAUGGCUUCUUCAACCACUUGUGUCUUUCACAUUGUUGUCCUUAUCUUCAUCUGCUUGCCCUUGGCUAAUACCAUAGAUUUCAAUUACCCUGCAGUCUUCAACUUUGGUGAUUCAAAUUCUGAUACAGGAGGUCUAGUUGCUGGCGUUGGUGAUCGCCUAGAGCCACCCAAUGGACAAACUUAUUUCAAGAAUCCAUCUGGGAGGUUCUGUGAUGGCCGACUAAUCAUCGAUUUCUUGAUGGAUGCAAUGGACCUGCCAUUCUUGAACUCCUAUUUAGACUCCGUUGCUGCACCGAGUUUCAAAAAAGGAGCCAACUUUGCAGCUGCUGGUUCAACUAUACUUCCUGCGACUGCAUCAUCUGUUAGCCCUUUUUCAUUUGGGAUUCAAGUUGCUCAGUUUUUAAGGUUCAAGAAUCGGGUUUCUGAAAUUCAGGCAAAGACUAGGAAAUAUGAUAAGUACCUUCCAGCUCAAGAUUUUUUCCAGAAAGGGCUUUAUAUGUUCGACAUAGGCCAGAAUGAUCUUGCUGGUGGAUUUUACUCCAAGACAUUAGAUCAAAUUCUAGCUUCAAUUCCAACUAUUCUUUCAGGAUUUGAAGAUGGUGUCAAGAGAUUGUAUGACCUAGGGGCCAGGAAUUUCUGGGUUCAUAAUACAGGUCCAUUGGGGUGCUUAGGUCAGAAUAUAGCCAAAUUUGGAACUGAUGUAUCAAAGUUGGAUGAGCUAGGAUGUGUUAGCUCACAUAAUCAAGCUGCAAAACUUUUGAAUCUGCAGCUUUACGCCCUCUGCAAGAAGCUUCAGGGCCAGUAUUCAGAUGCAAAUAUCACUCAUGUUGAUAUUUUUUCCAUCAAGUCUAAUCUGAUAGCAAAUUAUUCCCGAAAUGGAUUUGAGCAGCCAUUAAUGGCUUGCUGUGGAUAUGGAGGACCUCCACUCAACUAUGACAGCAGGAUUGCCUGUGGUCAGACAAAGGUGUUGGAUGGAAACAAUGUCACUGCCAAAGCAUGCAAUGACAGUAGUGAAUAUAUCAAUUGGGAUGGAAUUCACUACACAGAAACUGCAAACCAGUUUGUCGCCUCACAAAUUCUCACCGGGAAGUACUCUGAUCCACCCUUCGCAGACAAGAUGCCUUUCCUUCUCAAACUAAAGUUCUGAGGAACUAACAUGCUUCUCAUUGUUUUAUUCUCUGUGAACUUAUAUAUUAUAAUUUACUUAAGAAAUUCAACACUCCCAUGGAUUCUUGAAAAUAUAGAACUUAUGGAUCAUGUCAUGA